AAGGAUCAUUAUUAAACGCGAAGCCAUCACUGGCCUAGCUUUAUAAUCCUUAUUACACCUGUGCACCUUAUUGUCUUCGGACAAUCUUUACAAACAACAGUGUAACGAAUGUAAACUAUUAUAAAAUAAUACAACUUUUAACAACGGAUCUCUUGGCUCUC
rnacentral:misc_RNA from 1 species